GGGGGUAUAGCUCAGUUGGCUAGAGCACUUGCAUGGCAUGCAAGGGGUCGUCGGUUCGAAUCCGACUAUCUCCACUA
rnacentral:tRNA from 1 species